CGUGCCGCUGCGGGACUGUCUGAGAGCGUCGGCCGGCCAGGGGUCAGCCAGGGUCGGCAGAUGAUGAGUGGAGGACGACUGCUGAGGUUGGUCGGGACUUCUUGAUGAGGUAGGGAUGUGUAUACUUAUGUCUCUCUCUCUCUCUCUCUCUCUCUCUGGUCCCCAUUACCUGUGUCCCUCCUCUUUCCCCCGCCCACACCGUCCAUCACAGAGUACUCUCUCGACGAUGGAAGGACAAAUUUACUCUUUAACGUGACUUGCUUAUGUUAAUUCUCUCUCUCUCUCUCUCUCUCUCUCUCUCUCUCUCUCUCUCUCUCUCUCUCUCUCGUUGUAACUUGGCUUGGGCAGCAGUGACGGCCUGCAGGAGACGAACGCUCGCGGGGGUCCAGUUAGAGUUUGCAGUUGCCAGUUUUGUGUUUGAGUGGGAGAGUGGACGGUGUAUUACUCCAUGCUACUGUGUUCAUGUCUCCAGAGUAAUAAACCGUCGGAUUGGUGACGAAGACGACCACUGGGCAUUUGGGAGGCGUGGACAACCUGUGGUGCGCCCAGACGUGAUGCUCAAGCUUCCAGGGGUCGCCCGCCGGGAUGAGGACGGAGAAGCCGCGCCAGCCUCAGUCGUGGUCUGGCAGUGUAAGGGGACGGACGUCGGCCGCUCUUCCGUGGCACACGCGAUAGUCAUCCCCGAGUGUUUCCUCAGUGUUGGCGAGUGUGUUCGUUCGUCGGGCGUGUGGCUGCCGGCGCGUCGGGUUACUGUGCGAUCCCGUGUGCGGCGGGAGGUGCGUGUGGGGUGCCGGGAGGCGGUGGCCAGGAAGGGACACAUGCCCGACGGUCCUGUGGUCAUGGUGGUGGAGGGCAGUUUGGUCUAGGCCGCAGCCCAGAGUUGAAGUCGCUCCCCCAGGAUGACGGAGAAGGUGGCGGCGGCGGGGAGCCCCAAGAGGGACGCUAGCUGCUCCCCCACCCUGGCCACGGGCAGCCCCGGGGGCAGCCGAGUUCUGCCCUGGCUGACCGCCCUCGUCCUGUUCAGCGUGGCCUCCUGGUGCUUCCUGGCCUGGCGACACAUUCACCUCGAGUGGAGGGUGGACCGAUUGGAGGGUGAGCUGGAAGCACGCCUCGAGCAGCGCCUCCAGCAGCUGGGACUUAAGUCUCAAGUCCCGCCCGCACCCGCGCCUACCCACAUCCGCGUGGCGAGGGACGUGGCCGCUGACAACUGCAUCUGUCCCCCAGGUAAGAGCCGAGUCUUCUCUCACAUCCAGCCGACACAGGUGAGAGAGAGAGAGAGAGAGAGAGAGAGAGAGAGAGAGAGAGAGAGAGAGAGAGAGAAUGAUAUAUGAAGUAAACAAAUCUCACGUCCUUCUCUUCCCUCCUUCCUCUCUCUCCCCUCCUCCCUGCCCUCCACAAACUACCGCAGGCCCCUUACGUGAUCCACAGAGCCGUAACGAGAGCUGAGGAUCGCCGGUUGUUAUGACGCCGGAUUAACGCCAGGGGAGGGGAGGGGAGGGGAGAGAGGGAGGGAGGGAGAGAAAAAGGGAGAGGAGGGGAGUGAGGUGAGGAUAGGGAGGAUAGACAAGGCACUGAUGGAGAGGAAGGGAGGUGAUGAGAUGAAGGAUGGUUAAGGGAGGAGAGAGGAGGAGGAGGAGGAGGAGGGGGAGGAG